ensembl:lncRNA
AUUAUUUUGGCUACCGCUAGAAGAAGAGAUCUCAGUGAUUUUGAUCAGAGAGGAAGCAUCGAAGAGAAAUGGUCCAAUCCCAUCAAAAUCUGUCCAUGUGGGAAUACGACAUUCUGUUUAUUAAGCAGACCUUAAUAAACCUUUGGGACAUGGACUCUCAUUGUUAGGGCGGAGACAAGAACAUCUCUUCAUUAUAUACUGUUUUGAAAGAGCGGUCUGAAAGGAGCAUAGGGUGUUUAAAAGGUAUGUGUGUCUGUCUCAGUCACCAGGCUCAACCCUAUUGGACACUUAUGUGAGAUUCUGGAGCGGCGCCUGAGAAGGGUUUUCCACGACCAUCAACAAAAUGAUGGCAUUCCUCCAAAAGAGUUCCAGACUUCUACAAUCUAUGCCAACGUGUACGAAGCCACGCCCUAUACAGACACUUUAUGUUGGUGUUUCCUUUAUUUUGGCAGUUACCUGCACCUGACCUUAUAUUAAAGGACCCACCAGAGGGGAAUGCCACCCUUAUUUCAAUGUAAUUCCUGCUUAAGAGCGGAAAUGCUUGUUUAGGUUCCAUCUCUGAAUAAUGAUGCAGACUACAUAUAGACCUACAUAUUCAUGAACUGCGGGUGGGAAGGAACGUCAUGGUGACUUCCACGUGGAGUGGACAAACAUCAACAAAUAGAUCACUUCAAACCACAACUGCAGUACAGUCAACAGAAAAGAAUCCCAGAGCUGCAGGAUCCAUGUUGGAACACAGAGGUCAUUUUCAACAGGACUCUUUUGUAUAAUGUCAUAUUUUGAUGAAGGGGUGCACUAUAAAGUAAAUGGUUAAACCUACAAUGCUCUUAUAGCUGGCUGAACUAUGAACCAACUAUCCAUUGUGCCAAUUAACAAAAACAUUAACAUUUAUCAAUGACCUUUCUGACCUUAAAUCAGUGGCACACAAGAUGAAGUACUACACAGUUGAGACUGGCAAUACUUUGGAUUCUCACAUUCAGUUUAUGAGACGACUCAACAACACCACAAGAUGUUUUACGGAAGUCAAGUCUCCAGAGGAGAGUGAUGUCAUCAUGGCUUUCUGUCCCAUCGUCUCUCGCGCCGGGACUGAUAUUGAAGCAGCACUGCAACAGAUUCCAAAGGGUAAAGAUGUCAUUCUGGUAGUGCUGCAUCACACCUUCAACCCAGACGACACUGUACCUUACAGCAGCAGACUAGUGACCAGAAGUGAUGUAAUACUCACAGUGGACUGUCUGUUCCAUGAGAGACUGGGAGGACUACUGGACUGUCCUCGCAAUGAUGCAGCAGUCAGAAAUAUUAGGCAGAAGUUUGACACAGUGGACUGUCUGUUCCAUGAGAGCCAGGGACUACUGGACUGUUCUCGCAAUGAUGCAGUAGUCAAAAAGAUUAAGCAGAAGCUUGACAUGACCAGAAGUUGUGGCUUCCCAGCUUGGAUUCUAAACGGUGUCAUGUGGGCAGUGUCUUCAGGCUACAACUACGUUUUCAUUCACAAUACACGUCCCUCUACAAGGCCUCGUUCUGGCAAUCUAUCUGUGAUUUGGAGCAAUAUAAUGUGCACAGUGUAUUCAGUCUACAGCUACCUCUGUACACGGCUUUCAUAUGUGAAGGCGCGCUUCUGGGACAAUAAUUAGGUUCCAGUAGGUUCAAAAUCCACAUCCCUCUUCAAGACCUCGUUCCAGAAGUGAUGAAAGCAGUUCCACUUUUGUACCAACAAUGAAGACAUGCUAAUAGUUUUUAUGGAUUCCAUCUUUAAUUCAUGGUCUACUUAAGAAAAUGUCUUUACUUUUGAUGGUAAGAGCACUUGCAGGUGUAAUGUAUAGAAAUUGGGGCCGAUAUUAAAAAUGUUAAUAAAAAUGAAUGGAAAAUAAUAAAGAAGAAACAGGAUCUGUGGAAGGGGAUGCAUCUCAACAUCACUGCUAGUUUGCACAUACAUCAUACUUCUGACACCAGUGUAGCAAACAGUGGGGGUAACCUGGGUUGCUUGACGCAAGAAAAACUUGCUAGCCACAAACUCAAUAGGGAUAGCUUUCUCUUUUCGAGGAGUUUGGAACAGGCAUACAAAGGCUUGACUUUUUCCAAUAGUUCGAUGACUAAGCUGAGCUAAGCUAAACAUUUUUUGUUCAUUUUUUUCACCUUUAUUUAACAAGGUUGGCCAGUUGAGAACAAGUUCUCAUUUACAACUGCGACCCGGCCAAGAUAAAGCAAAGCAGUGCGACACAAACAACACAGAGUUACACACGGUGAGGG